GAAAGCCGUAUUCGAUGAAAGUCGUAUGUACGGCUUGGAGGGAGAUCUUUUCUAUCUUUCGAGAUCCACCCGUCU
rfam:Hordeum vulgare subsp. vulgare, WGS project CAJW01000000 data, contig: morex_contig_2086267